CGCCUUGACGAUGAGGAGUUGGUCUCCUACAUCCUCUCCGGCCUGGACCUUGAGUUCAAUCCCUUGGUCUCGGCCAUAGCAACUCGUGUUGAGCCCAUCACCAUGGACGAGCUCUUUGCCCAGCUGGUGGGCUUUGAGA